CCAUUCUAACAGAGGAAAAACAGUUAUUGCUAUUAUAGAAUUCCUUCAGAAUAUUCUUACUGUUAUACUUAAGUACAUAAAGGAAAUUAAGCCUGAAGACUCUAAAAUCUCUAGUUGCUGGCAACAUGUGCAGUUAAGUAAUUUACAAAACCAACAUAUGAAAUACAGAUAGUAGUUUAACCUUUAGAAAUGCAAACAAUCCUUGCAACAAAAAGAAUGCACUUUCGAUUUCAGAAUUUUAAUUCACCAUUUUCUCUCCUUUGUUCUAAACAGGGAUGAUGCAAUUUCAGCAACCACCAAUCUCAGCUAGAAAAAGCGGCAGCUUAUCUCAUCAGAAUUGAUCAAGAGUCUUCUGAAAACAAUGGUAAAAGCAACACAGAUGAUUGAAAAUAUUUAAAAUAUAUAUUCAAAUAUAUUUUUGAUUUUGUUUGUAUAUAUUCAAAUAGAAAAAUAAUCAAUUUAGCAUUAAGAAAAUAAAAACAAUGGAGAAAUCCCAGGGUAGAUCGCAUAUUUUUGUAUUUUGGUAUCUUUGCAUACAUAGAGAAAAAAAUACAUCAUCACUACUAGGUAACUAAUAGCAUUGUUUUGAUUUUUUUUCUGUUAAAUAUUUCUUUGAGCUUCAAAUGGGGAAUUAUUGGGAAAAAAAUUAAACACAUUUGUGUUUAUGUACACGUGUAUAUCUAUUUUAUAGGUAAAAUCUACUUUUUUUUUUUUAAGCCUGAAAGUAUCAAAACUCUCUCAAAUACACAAGUAUUAUUUUUACUAACCUUUGACAUCUAAAUGAAGCUCUUCAGUAAAGAAGGUUUUUGUAUCCUUAUUUGGAACUUCUGAAGUCAUUCCAGAAAAGACAGGGUUUUCAGGCAUUAGCCUGAACAAGUGAUAAAGCAGUUUGUUCAAGCUUUUAGUUCUUCUAAGGUAUUGUGAAUAGAGAACUCGCAGCUGAUGGUGUUUGAACAAAGAAACAAACAACAAAAAUAAGAAAAAAAACAAAAACAAAGAUGAGAAUAAAAAAUUUAUUCUGCAAAUAAUACAAGUAUGUUUCUAUAUGGAGAAAAAGCUAUCCUGAGAUUCUGGAUGAGUGUUUAGAAUAGCGACUCAGUUCUUUGUAACCUUCUGAAUGAUUUGAAGAUCAUAAAAUCUCACAAGCUUGUUUAAAACCAGCAAAAAGAAACAUACAUUAAUGAAUGCUAAAGCUUUAUUACUCUAAUAUUGCCAUCCCUAACAGACAUCUAGAUCUACUGAUGCUUUUGGAAUGGAAUCCCACUAAGUCCAAAGGAAGCAGGACAACAUAUAAUUAGAAGAAAGAGGACAAAUAAAAUCUCAAUACCCGCAUCAAGUAAACAUAAUAAAAAUUAAUUUGAAAGGAAAAAAAACUGAGUAUAUACCUGAGAAGAAGCCGCUUUGAAGAAAGUUAAUGUUAACUUCCAAGUGAGAAGAUAUCCUAGAACAAGGCAGAACUCAUCACUCAGGGGCUGAAUAACUGCGAACUCCCCAACCGGAAUGCAUUCUAGGAUGUUUUCUAGUAAGAGCUCUUGAGUGGCAAGGACAGACAUAAGAGCUGCUGGAGGUGAUCUAUGGAAAAAUAUUAUCUGACAUUGUAAACUGAAAACUUUAGCAGAGCAUUAGCUGAACUUAUAUGCACAACCUUCCCAGCAUCCUUUAAAUAAAGCAACAUAGGUAGAACACAGAAGGGGUCUUUUGUUACAGGAAAGCUUAUUUUCAGAUUCACACGCCACUGCUAGAUCUUAACAGUUCUUUCUCCUGUAAAAAAUAGUUGAUCUCUCUCCUCCUCAGAAGAAGGAUAUAAACGAAAUACUGUUCACAAUCUGAAAAGAUGAAUUUAGUCUAUGGCUGAGCUGAUUUAAACUCCAUCAUGGAACACUUAAAUUUUUUCUUCGGUCAAGUCACACCAACAAUGGAGCAACUUAUGUGUUGGGUGUGGGUUUUGGCAAUGGAUUAAAACACCUUUUACACCUCUGUUUUAAAACAUGUUAUUAAUCACUGGACUGCGGUAAAUAAAUAAAAUCAGUUAUCCUAUUCCCUGUUCAAA